GAUGAACGCUGGCGGCGUGCCUAAUACAUGCAAGUCGAGCGAAUGGAUUAAGAGCUUGCUCUUAUGAAGUUAGCGGCGGACGGGUGAGUAACACGUGGGUAACCUGCCCAUAAGACUGGGAUAACUCCGGGAAACCGGGGCUAAUACCGGAUAACAUUUUGAAUCGCAUGGUUCGAAAUUGAAAGGCGGCUUCGGCUGUCACUUAUGGAUGGACCCGCGUCGCAUUAGCGAGUUGGUGAGGUAACGGCUCACCAAGGCAACGAUGCGUAGCCGACCUGAGAGGGUGAGCGGCCACACUGGGACUGAGACACGGCCCAGACUCCUACGGGAGGCAGCAGUAGGGAAUCUUCCGCAAUGGACGAAAGUCUGACGGAGCAACGCCGCGUGAGUGAUGAAGGCUUUCGGGUCGUAAAACUCUGUUGUUAGGGAAGAACAAGUGCUAGUUGAAUAAGCUGGCACCUUGACGGUACCUAACCAGAAAGCCACGGCUAACUACGUGCCAGCCGCCGCGGUAA
rnacentral:rRNA from 1 species